UACAGAGGUCUCGAGCGUUAGGCGGAAUCACUGGGCUUAAAGCGUGUGUAGGUGGAUGCCUAAGUACCUUGUGAAAAUCCCACAGCUUAACUGUGGAACUGCUUGGUAUACUGGGUGUCUUGAGUCACUCAGGGGCGAGCGGAACAAAUGGUGGAGCGGUGAAAUGCGUAGAUAUCAUUUGGAACGCCAAUGGUGGAAAACAGCU
rnacentral:rRNA from 1 species